AUUGAACGCUGGCGGCAGGCCUAACACAUGCAAGUCGAGCGAGCGGCGGACGGGUGCGUACUGUCUGGGAAACUGCCUGAUGGAGGGGGAUAACUACUGGAAACGGUAGCUAAUACCGCAUACCAUCAGAUGUGCCCAGAUGGGAUUAGGUAGUAGGUGGGGUAACGGCGCACCAAGGCGAGGAUCUGUAGCGGGUCUGAGAGGAUGAUCCGCCACACUGGGACUGAGGCACGGCCAAGACGCCUAAGGGAGGCAGCAGUGGGGAAUAUUGGAAAAUGGGGGGAACCCUGAUCCAGCCAUGCCGCGUGUGUGAAGAAGGCCUUAUGGUUGUAAAGCACUUUAAGCGAGGAGGCGUUACUCGCAGAGUAAGCACCGGCUAACUCAGUGCCAGCAGCCGCGGUAAUUC
rnacentral:rRNA from 1 species